rnacentral:rRNA from 1 species
CCUACGGGUGGCAGCAGUGGGGAAUAUUGGACAAUGGGGGGAACCCUGAUCCAGCCAUGCCGCGUGUGUGAAGAAGGCCCUCGGGUUGUAAAGCACUUUCAGUGAGGAAGAACGCCUGGUGGUUAAUACCCAUCAGGAAAGACAUCACUCACAGAAGAAGCACCGGCUAACUCCGUGCCAGCAGCCGCGGGAAUACGGAGGGUGCGAGCGUUAAUCGGAAUUACUGGGCGUAAAGCGCGCGUAGGUGGCUUGAUAAGCCGGUUGUGAAAGCCCCGGGCUCAACCUGGGAACGGCAUCCGGAACUGUCAAGCUAGAGUGCAGGAGAGGAAGGUAGAAUUCCCGGUGUAGCGGUGAAAUGCGUAGAGAUCGGGAGGAAUACCAGUGGCGAAGGCGGCCUUCUGGACUGACACUGACACUGAGGUGCGAAAGCGUGGGUAGCAAACAGGAUUAGAUACCCGGGUAGUC